UAGGGAAUCUUCCGCAAUGGACGCAAGUCUGACGGAGCAACGCCGCGUGAGUGAAGAAGGAUUUCGGUUCGUAAAACUCUGUUGUUAGAGAAGAACAGCGCAUAGAGUAACUGUUAUGCGUGUGACGGUAUCUAACCAGAAAGCCACGGCUAACUACGUGCCAGCAGCCGCGGUAAUACGUAGGUGGCAAGCGUUGUCCGGAUUUAUUGGGCGUAAAGCGAGCGCAGGCGGUUAGAAAAGUCUGAAGUUAAAGGCAGUGGCUCAACCAUUGUAGGCUUUGGAAACUGUUUACCUUGAGUGCGGAAGGGGAGAGUGGAAUUCCAUGUGUAGCGGUGAAAUGCGUAGAUAUAUGGAGGAACCCCGGUGGCGAAAGCGGCUCUCUGGUCUGUAACUGACGCUGAGGCUCGAAAGCGUGGGUAGCAAACAGG
rnacentral:rRNA from 1 species